UACGUAGGGGGCUAGCGUUGUCCGGAUUUAUUGGGCGUAAAGAGCGUGUAGGCGGCCAGGUAGGUCCGGUGUGAAAACUCGAGGCUUAACCUCGAGAUGUCAUCGGAAACCAUCUGGCUAGAGUCCGGAAGAGGAAAGUGGAAUUCCUGGUGUAGCGGUGAAAUGCGCAGAUAUCAGGAGGAACACCAAGGGCGAAAGCAGCUUUCGGGGAGGGUACUGAGGCUGAGACGCGAAAGCGUGGGAGCGAACAGG
rnacentral:rRNA from 1 species